CAAACAUACAAGGAAGGCCAAAAUUCAAGGUAGAGUUUGAGGAGUCAAUAUUUUUUUUUUUAUUAAUGAACCAAUUUCAAUAAUAUUACAUAUAAUAAAUGCUUAACAUAUAGAGAUUUGUUUGACUAGGUAUGGAAGAUGACAUCUUUUAAAUGAGCUCCAAUUGCAACAUCACAAAGUUUUUUUGAUUGCAUUGCUCACAACAUUAGUUAAUGUUUGAGGCUCUAGUGCUCAAAUUUCUGCCCGAUAACAAGAUGGUGCAUUGGGUAGGGUGCAAUUGGCCCUGAUAAAUGAACAGUGGAUUUUCUGUACCCCUGAAAUAACAAUUUUGCUUAUUGGCAAAGCCAUUAAAAUGAAAAUGAGCUUCGUCAAACAUGAUGAGUUGAUUAAUAAAAUAAUUGAUUUCUCUGGCUAAUUCGUUGUUCCUUCAUGAAAUUACCCGUGAUGACUCUCUCAAGACUCAGUUAUGUACCUGCAACAAAAAUGAAAUUA